rnacentral:rRNA from 1 species
UACGGGGGGGAGCAAGCGUUGUUCGGAUUUACUGGGCGUAAAGUGUGCGCAGGCGGCCGCGCAAGUCGAGUGUGAAAUCCCCGAGCUUAACUUGGGAAUUGCGCUCGAAACUACGUGGCUGGAGUGUGGCAGAGGAAGGUGGAAUUCCACGUGUAGCGGUGAAAUGCGUAGAUAUGUGGAGGAACACCGAUGGCGAAGGCAGCCUUCUGGGCCAACACUGACGCUCAUGCACGAAAGCGUGGGGAGCAAACAGG